UGAAACUUCAACACCUUCGUUCUCCUUCGUUUCUCAACCAAAUUGGACGAGUGAGCCAGUAGUUGACUGGAACGAGCAGCAGAGCUGUGUCGUGUGCCCUUGAACCGUGAACUUUGGUGCUCCGAGCUUUUGUAGAGCUUCGGUACCCUGUUAAUUCGUAAAACUCCAUUUUUGUUGGAUGGUUGAAUUCUGUUAGAUGCUCUGUUAUUGCCCAGUUAGAAUUUGGUAUUUUGAGGCCGGAGGCCAUGGUUUGUAACACUAAGCUUUGUGUA